UACGUAGGGGGCAAGCGUUGUCCGGAUUUAUUGGGCGUAAAGCGCACGCAGGCGGUGCGGUAAGUUUCGAGUGACAGGUGGUGGCUUAACUGCCACAGGACUCGGGAAAACUGCUGCACUUGAGGGCUUGAGAGGGACGCGGAAUUCCAGGUGGAGCGGUGAAAUGCGUAGAGAUCUGGAAGAACACCAAAGGCGAAGGCAGCGUCCUGGCAAGUCACUGACGCUCAGGUGCGAAAGCUAGGGGAGCGAACGGG
rnacentral:rRNA from 1 species